rnacentral:rRNA from 1 species
AUACGGAGGGAGCGAGCGUUAAUCGGAAUUACUGGGCGUAAAGCGCGCGUAGGCGGCUUUGUAAGUCGGAUGUGAAAGCCCAGGGCUCAACCCUGGAAUUGCAUUCGAUACUGCAUGGCUAGAGUAUGGUAGAGGGAAGUGGAAUUUCCGGUGUAGCGGUGAAAUGCGUAGAUAUCGGAAGGAACACCAGUGGCGAAGGCGACUUCCUGAGCCAAUACUGACGCUGAGGUGCGAAAGCGUGGGGAGCAAACAGGAUUAGAUACCCCAGUAGUCC